rnacentral:tRNA from 1 species
UCCCGUGUAGCUCAGUUGGUAGAGCAUGGUGUUUGCAACGCCAGGGUUGCUGGUUCGAUUCCCACGGGGG